rnacentral:rRNA from 1 species
CCUACGGGUGGCAGCAGUAGGGAAUAUUGCUCAAUGGGGGAAACCCUGAAGCAGCAACGCCGCGUGGAGGAUGAAGGUUUUCGGAUUGUAAACUCCUUUUGUUAGAGAAGAUAAUGACGGUAUCUAACGAAUAAGCAUCGGCUAACUCCGUGCCAGCAGCCGCGGUAAUACGGAGGAUGCGAGCGUUAUCCGGAUUCACUGGGCUAAAAGGGUGCGUAGGCGGAAUAGCAAGUCAGCGGUAAAACCUAGGGCCUAAACCCAGACAUGCCGUUGAAACUGAUGUUCUUGAGUAGGCGAGAGGUAUGCGGAAUGCGUGGUGUAGCGGUAAAAUGCGUAGAGAUCAAGAAGAAUUCUGAUUGCGAAGGCGGCCUACCGGAGCAUAACUGACGCUGAUGCGCGAAAGCGUGGGUAUCGAACAGGAUUAGAUACCCUAGUAGUC